rnacentral:lncRNA from 1 species
AGGACUAAUCUUUUUGCUUUGUCACAGUGCUAAUUAUGGCCAUAUGAAUCAGAGCUAGUUCUCUUUUGGGCCUAAUCAGUAGGACUGAUUAUUGAUACAUGCCAAUGGAUCGAAUAUUCUGUAUUCCAGGACUGUCUCUUCUGGACCUUGUCAUGGGGUUGAUCGUGGCUGUAGUCAUCAAAAAUCGAGAGAGAAUUUGAAAUCUUAGUGUUACACAUGAUAUAUUUUGAAAAUCAA